rnacentral:rRNA from 1 species
UACGUAGGGGGCAAGCGUUGUCCGGAUUUAUUGGGCGUAAAGAGCGUGUAGGCGGUUUGGUAGGUCCGUUGUGAAAACUCGAGGCUCAACCUCGAGACGCCGAUGGAAACCAUCAGACUAGAGUCCGGAAGAGGAGAGUGGAAUUCCUGGUGUAGCGGUGAAAUGCGCAGAUAUCAGGAAGAACACCCGUGGCUAAGGCGGCUCUCUAGUACGGUACUGACGCUGAGACGCGAAAGCGUGGAGAGCGAACAGG